GACAGUGCCAGAGAGGAGCAGCUUCUA
rnacentral:piRNA from 1 species